GACGAACGCUGGCGGCGUGCUUAACACAUGCAAGUCGAGCGGUAAGGCCCUUUCGGGGUACGACGAGCGGCGGAACGGGUAGGAGUAACAACGUGGGUGGACCUCGCCCUCCAGCUCUGGGAGUAAAGACCCGGGAAACCGUAGGGUCGUAAUAACCGGACUAUGACUCCAUGACGCAUGUUGUGGGGUGGGAAAGACCUUG
rnacentral:rRNA from 1 species